ensembl:lncRNA
UUUAAGGUUGACAAGGACAGCAUUGCCCCUUUAAGGUUGACAAGGACAGCAUUGCCCCUUUAAGGUUGUCAAAGCCAGCAUUUCCCCUUUAAGGUUGUCAAAGCCAGCAUUGCCCCUUUAAGGUUGACAAGGACAGCAUUGCCCCUUUAAGGUUGACAAAGCCAGCAUUGCCCCUUUAAGGUUGACAAGGACAGCAUUGCCCCUUUAAGGUUGUCAAGGACAGCAUUUCCCCUUUAAGGUUGUCAAGGACAGCAUUGCCCCUUUAAGGUUGUCAAGGACAGCAUUGCCCCUUUAAGGUUGUCAAGGACAGCAUUGCCCCUUUAAGGUUGUCAAGGACAGCAUUGCCCCUUUAAGGUUGUCAAGGACAGCAUUGCCCCUUUAAGGUUGUCAAGGACAGCAUUGCCCCUUUAAGGUUGUUUCUCUGUAUACAUCAAUGAUGUCGCUCUUGCUGUGGGUGCUUCUUUGAUCCACCUCUACUCAGACGACACCAUUCUGUUUACAUCUGGACUGAAGUUGGAGACUUUUAUCUCCCUCACUAACUUCAAGCAUCAGCUGUCAAAGCAGCUAACCGAUCGCUGCAGUGGUACACAGCCCAUCCGUAAAUAGUCCAUCCAACGAACUACAUACCUCAUCCCAUAUUUGUUUUUGUUUUUCUGCUCUUUUGCACACCAGUAUUUCUACUUGCACAUCCUCAUCUGCACAUCUCACUCCAGUGUUAAUUGCUAAAUUGUAAUUACUUUGCCACUAUUGGCCUAUUUAUUGCCUUACCUCCUUACUUCAUUUGCACACACUGUAUACAUAUUUUUCUAUUGUGUUAUUGACUGUACGUUUGUUAAUCCCAUGUGUAUCUCUGUGUUGUUGUUUUUGUGGCAUUGCUUUGCUUUAUCUUGGCCAGGUCGCAGUUGUAAACGAGAACUUGUUCUCAACUGGCCUACCUGGUUAAACAAAGGUGAAAUAAAUAAAAAAAAAUGAUCUGCCUCUUUUUUUCAAUUUUCGCCAAAUCUAACUGCCUGUAAGCUCAGACCCUGACGCAAGGAUAAGCAUAUUCUUGGUACCAUUUGAAAGGAUACACUUUGAAGUUUGUGGAAAUGUGAAAAGAUUGUAGGAGAAUGUAACACUGCAGAUUUGAUAAAAAGAUAACACAAAGAAAAAAAAACCUUUCAUUUGUAUUUUUUUGUACCAUCAUCUUUGAAAUGCAAGAGAAAGUCCAUAAUGUAUUAUUCCAGCCCGGGUGCAAUUUCGAUUUUGGCCACUAGAUGGCAGCAGUGCAUGUGCAACAUUUUUAGACUGAUCCAAUGAACCAUUGCAUUUAUGUUCCAAAUUUUGUGUCAAGACUGCCCAAAUGUGACUCAUUUGUUUAUUAAUAACUUUUCAUGUUCAAAAUUGUGCACUCUCCUCAAGCAAUAGCACGGUAUUAUUUCACUGUAAUAGCUACUGUAAAUUGGACAGUGCAGUUAGAUUAGAAUUUCAGCUUUCUGCAUACAUCACAUAUGUCUAUGUCCUGGGAAAUGUUCUUGUUUCUUAUAACCUCAUGCUUGUCGCAUUAGCCUACGUUAGCUCAACAGCCCCGUGGAUGGGACACCGAUCCCGAAGAAGUAAGGUUGUCAAGGCCAGCAUGCCCCUUUAAGGUUGUCAAGGCCAGCAUUGCCCCUUUAAGGUUGUCAAGGCCAGCAUUGCCCCUUUAAGGUUGUCAAGGCCAGCAGGGGAGAGUGAGGUGGUGGGCUCUCAUGACUCAGUCCAAGUUGAGGAAGUUAGAUAG